UGCGCAGGCGCUGGCGGGAUAGCGCGCCGCCGAGCCAAGAAAGGGGUCACGAACUCUGACCCUCCCAAAUACCCAAACACAGAAAGCUCCCUCCGCAGUGAAUCUCGAUCCCCCCUCCCGUGGGCUUCCUUCAACCUCUCUUUCCGAAGCGCCCCCCAAUCCAGCAGUGGCAACCGCGGGACUGUCGCGUCGGCGCCCGACGCCGGAGUCAGCGGGGCGCAAAGGCGCCGGACAUCUUGGCAGUUAGAUCAUGGCAACCAUAGAAGAAAUUGCACAUCAAAUUAUUGAACAGCAGAUGGGAGAGAUUGUUACAGAGCAGCAAACUGGGCAGAAGAUCCAGAUUGUGACAGCACUUGAUCAUAAUACCCAAGGCAAGCAGUUCAUUCUGACAAAUCAUGAUGGCUCUACUCCAAGCAAAGUCAUUCUGGCCAGGCAAGAUUCCACUCCAGGAAAAGUUUUCCUUACAACUCCAGAUGCAGCAGGUGUCAACCAGUUAUUUUUUACCACUCCUGAUCUGUCUGCACAACACCUGCAGCUCCUAACAGAUAAUUCUUCUCCAGACCAGGGACCAAAUAAGGUUUUUGAUCUUUGCGUAGUGUGUGGAGACAAAGCAUCAGGACGUCAUUAUGGAGCAGUAACUUGUGAAGGCUGCAAAGGAUUUUUUAAAAGAAGCAUCCGAAAAAAUUUAGUAUAUUCAUGUCGAGGAUCAAAGGAUUGUAUUAUUAAUAAGCACCACCGAAACCGCUGUCAAUACUGCAGGUUACAGAGAUGUAUUGCGUUUGGAAUGAAGCAAGACUCUGUCCAAUGUGAAAGAAAACCCAUUGAAGUAUCACGAGAAAAAUCUUCCAACUGUGCCGCUUCAACAGAAAAAAUCUAUAUCCGAAAGGACCUUCGUAGCCCAUUAACUGCAACUCCAACUUUUGUAACAGAUAGUGAAACUACAAGGUCAACAGGACUUUUAGAUUCAGGAAUGUUCGUGAAUAUUCAUCCAUCUGGAGUAAAAACUGAGUCAACUGUGCUGAUGACACCAGAUAAGGCUGAAUCAUGUCAGGGAGAUUUAAGUACAUUGGCCAGUGUGGUUACAUCAUUAGCGAAUCUUGGAAAAACUAAAGAUCUUUCUCAAAAUAGUAAUGAAAUGUCUAUGAUUGAAAGCUUAAGCAAUGAUGAUACCUCUUUGUGUGAAUUUCAAGAAAUGCAGACCAACGGUGAUGUUUCAAGGGCAUUUGACACUCUUGCAAAAGCAUUGAAUCCAGGAGAGAGCACAGCCUGCCAGAGCUCAGUAGCAGGCAUGGAAGGAAGUGUACACCUAAUCACUGGAGAUUCAAGCAUAAAUUACACCGAAAAAGAGGGACCACUUCUCAGCGAUUCACAUGUAGCUUUCAGGCUCACCAUGCCUUCUCCUAUGCCUGAGUACCUGAAUGUGCACUACAUUGGGGAGUCUGCCUCCAGACUGCUGUUCUUAUCAAUGCACUGGGCACUUUCGAUUCCUUCUUUCCAGGCGCUAGGGCAAGAAAACAGCAUAUCACUGGUGAAAGCUUACUGGAAUGAACUUUUUACUCUUGGUCUUGCCCAGUGCUGGCAAGUGAUGAAUGUAGCAACUAUAUUAGCAACAUUUGUCAAUUGUCUUCACAAUAGUCUUCAACAAGAUAAAAUGUCAACAGAAAGAAGAAAAUUAUUGAUGGAGCACAUCUUCAAACUACAGGAGUUUUGCAACAGCAUGGUUAAACUCUGCAUUGAUGGAUAUGAAUAUGCCUACCUGAAGGCAAUAGUACUCUUCAGUCCAGAUCAUCCAGGCCUAGAAAACAUGGAACAGAUAGAGAAAUUUCAGGAAAAGGCUUAUGUGGAAUUCCAAGAUUAUAUAACCAAAACAUAUCCAGAUGACACCUACAGGUUAUCCAGACUACUACUCAGAUUGCCAGCUUUAAGACUGAUGAAUGCUACCAUCACUGAAGAAUUGUUUUUCAAAGGUCUCAUUGGCAACAUACGAAUUGACAGUGUCAUCCCACAUAUUUUGAAAAUGGAGCCUGCAGAUUAUAAUUCUCAAAUAAUUGGUCACAGCAUUUGAAAGCUGCAACUGCAGUGCUGUAAACUUAACUAUUCUUUGCCAGAACACAAGACACCAAAUUGAACUCAUUGCUUUUGGAGCAUCUGGAAAUUUUUACUUCAAAAAGUAACCAGAAUCCAAGACACAAAGUCUCACUGUGUUGGCCAGGGUAGAACUCCUGGGCUCAAGCUAUGCUCCCACCUCAACCUCCUGAUUAGCUGGGACUACAGGUAUGAACUGCUACACCUGGUUUGCUUUAUGGUUUUUGUUUGUUUUUAAAUGCAUCUUACAAAGACAAAAAAAAAAAGGGGGACAGAAAUAAAUGAUAACCACAACUUUUUGAAAGCUAAAAAUAGACUAGUAGUGAUGAUCCUAGCAAACCUGAGAAGGCCUUUUUAUCCUGCAAUGUGGAAAGCUGCAAAGCAAUCUUUCAAAAUGCUCCAAAAUGCUCUUGUACUGUGACAUCUCUGGAAGGAAAGAUGAAGGAUUUGUUGAAAGUCUAUUUUGGAAGCAAAUACACACCCACCAGACUAAUAAAAUUUUAGUCUGGCAAAACCAAACGUAGAGUAUGUGGAGUGAAAAUAUGUGUGUUGAUGGUGAGAGUGUUGGUACAGUAAAUUCGGGAAAGAUUUUGCAUUAAAUAGUAGAGUUGAACAUGCAUGAAAUUAUCUUAGAGAAACUCACACGUGUACCAGAGGACAUACAAAAAAUUCAUGUCAGCAUUGUAAGAGCAAAAAAGGAAAACUAUUCAAAUAUCCAUUGACAGGAGAAUGGAUAAGUUAAUUGUGGCAUAAUCACCCAAUGGAAUACUAUGCAACACUAAAAAAGGAAUAAACUGUAAACAUGGGUGAAUCCCCAAAAUACAAUGUUGUAUUU